rnacentral:rRNA from 1 species
UCUUUCCUUAGUAGCCAGCAGUCAGAUGGGCACUCUAGGGAGACUGCCGGGGAUAACCCGGAGGAAGGCGGGGACGACGUCAAAUCAUCAUGCCCCUUAUGAUUUGGGCUACACACGUGCUACAAUGGCGUAAACAAAGGGAAGCGAGCCUGCGAAGGUAAGCAAAUCCCAAAAAUAACGUCCCAGUUCGGACUGCAGUCUGCAACUCGACUGCACGAAGCUGGAAUCGCUAGUAAUCGCGAAUCAGAAUGUCGCGGUGAAUACGUUCCCGGGUCUUGUACACACCGCCCGUCACACCAUGGGAGUCAGUAACGCCCGAA